AGCAUAUCAAUAAGCGGAGGAAAAGAAACCAACAGGGAUUGCCCUAGUAACGGCGAGUGAAGCGGCAACAGCUCAAAUUUGAAAUCUGGCGUCUUUGGCGUCCGAGUUGUAAUUUGCAGAGGGCGCUUUGGCAUUGGCAGCGGUCCAAGUUCCUUGGAACAGGACGUCACAGAGGGUGAGAAUCCCGUACGUGGUCGCUAGCCUUUACCGUGUAAAGCCCCUUCGACGAGUCGAGUUGUUUGGGAAUGCAGCUCUAAAUGGGAGGUAAAUUUCUUCUAAAGCUAAAUACUGGCCAGAGACCGAUAGCGCACAAGUAGAGUGAUCGAAAGAUGAAAAGCACUUUGGAAAGAGAGUUAAAAAGCACGUGAAAUUGUUGAAAGGGAAGCGCUUGCAGCCAGACUUGCCUGUAGUUGCUCAUCCGGGUUUUUACCCGGUGCACUCUUCUAUAGGCAGGCCAGCAUCAGUUUGGGCGGUUGGAUAAAGGUCUCUGUCAUGUACCUCUCUUCGGGGAGAACUUAUAGGGGAGACGACAUGCAACCAGCCUGGACUGAGGUCCGCGCAUCUGCUAGGAUGCUGGCGUAAUGGCUGUAAGCGGCCCGUCUUGAAACACGGACCAAGGAGUCUAACAUCUAUGCGAGUGUUUGGGUGUCAAGCCCGAGCGCGUAAUGAAAGUGAACGGAGGUGGGAACCUUUCGGGGUGCACCAUCGACCGAUCCUGAUGUCUUCGGAUGGAUUUGAGUAAGAGCAUAGCUGUUGGGACCCGAAAGAUGGUGAACUAUGCUUGAAUAGGGUGAAGCCAGAGGAAACUCUGGUGGAGGCUCGCAGCGGUUCUGACGUGCAAAUCGAUCGUCAAAUUUGGGCAUAGGGGCGAAAGACUAAUCGAACUAUCUAGUAGCUGGUUCCUGC
rnacentral:rRNA from 1 species